UUUCAAAAGUCUCUUAAUACUAAGUGCAACUUUCUUGGUUCUAAAGUCCAAUUAACCCAAGCAUUGGACAAAACAGAAAUGUGCAUGUAAGAGUUCUUGCUAAUUUCAUUUAGCUGUAGAGACAUGCAAGUUACAUGCACGCAGAUGAACUGAGAAAAGGAAGACUUCACAGAGGUGCUUAAUGUGAAUUAAGUAGGCAGUUGCUGUGAAUAAAGGUGGUGAAGCAGAAAGGGAGCACUUUAAGCAGAGGAAGCAGUAGAGGCGUCACUAGACAAUGGACAACUUGGAGGGAAGUGCUUGGAAGGUGGUUAGCAUAUAAUUGAGAGGCACUGGAUGCCACAGUGGUGUGGGUAUAGUGCUCCGUUCCACAGAUCCUCCUGGAACCUGUGAACAUGACAUGGCAAAGGGGAAUUAGGACUACAUAAUCAGCUGACAUUUGAAUAAGGCUAGAUUGCGUGGGCUUCCAAGAGUGUACAUGUGGAAAUGGAAGUUGGAGAGCUCAGAAUGAUGAUAUGAAGAAGACUCAAACUUGCCUUUGCUAGAGGGAGGAAAGGGCUAUGAGCCAAAGAAUGUAGGAAGCCUGUCAGUCUGGAAAAGGCAAGGAAAUGGAUCUGGCCUCCAGCCUCCAGAGAGGAAUGCAGACCUGCCAACACCUUGAAUUUAGUUCAGUGACAUCCAUGCCAGGCCCUGACCUCCAAAACUGAGAUUAUAAAUUUGUGUUAAGCCUCUAGGCUUAAGGUGAUUUGUUAAAGCAGUGAUAGAUACCACACAGUAUAAUGUCUGAACUUACUCUGCAGAUAAAGGGAAUCCUUGUCAGUCCUGAAAUGUUUGCUGUUCACCAUAGUGUGUUGGGCAGAGAAGCAGAAUGGCGAAUGAGACAGACCCACUUGGCCAAGGAGAUGCAGAGAGAGACUGUGUAAACUUCCACUGUGGAUGCAUCUUAUGCCCAUUCUCUCCUAUUUCUUGCAAGAUUCUGACUUUUGAAGAAAAUAAAAACCAAGGGGCAACUUCCCUCCAGCACUGUGAUCACUCUGUUGUCUGACUUAUUGGAAGACUUCAAGCUUACUGAAGUCUGCCUUAAGGUGAGCUGCUGUGUUCCACCGCAUCUCCACACCAUGAUGUCCUUGCUUCACACACACGGCCCCAGAAGAACAGAGCCACAUGACUGUGGACCGAAGCCUC